AAGAAAACUCGAACUCGGGAAGGCACGCAUCGACCAAGCGAGUGAGGCCAGGGAUCGAGGCGGGAAUGCAUGCUGAAUCUUAAUGCCACAGAGGAGUGUCCCAGGGCGUCUAGGAGUCUGUGCAUAAUUUUGUUUAGAUUUGUCAUGCAUUGUUUUGUAAACUGCUUACUUACUAUUCAAAUUUGAACACCUUGUUUUGGAUUUUAAA